UCCUACGGGAGGCAGCAGUGGGGAAUAUUGCACAAUGGGCGCAAGCCUGAUGCAGCCAUGCCGCGUGUGUGAAGAAGGCCUUCGGGUUGUAAAGCACUUUCAGCGGGGAGGAAGGCGAUAAGGUUAAUAACCUUGUCGAUUGACGUUACCCGCAGAAGAAGCACCGGCUAACUCCGUGCCAGCAGCCGCGGUAAUA
rnacentral:rRNA from 1 species